UAUUAGUUUAUGUAUUAGAAUUUUAGUUUAUAAAUUGAAAUUUUAGGAUAUGACUUGAACUUUUGUGGAUAUGAGUUGAACCUUUAGGAUAUGAAUUGAACCUUUAGGAUAUUUGUUUAUGUAUUGGAAUUUUAGUUUAUAAAUUGAAAUUUUAGGAUAUGACUUGAACUUUUGUGGAUAUGCGUUGAACCUUUAGGAUAUGAAUCGAAAUUUUUGGUUUAUGUAUUGGAAUUUUAGUUUAUAAAUUGAAAUUUUAGGAUAUGACUUGAACUUUUGUGGAUAUGAGUUGAACCUUUAGGUAUAUGAAUUGAAAUUUUUGUGUAUGAAUUGACUUUUAGGAUAUGAAUUGAAAUUUUGUGUAUGAAUUGAGCCUUUAGGAUAUGAAUUGAAUUUUUGUGGAUAUGAAUUGAAAUUUAGGAUUGCGGGAGGAUUUUGUAGAAGGGGUUGAUGACUUUAUUAGACAUGCAAUGCAACUUCCACCAAGAAUAACUUAGA
rnacentral:lncRNA from 1 species